AGAGAGACACACAGCAUUAAAGCACACGACAGAGUUCAUAUCGCACACGCACAAGAGCAUUCUGGGUAUUUCAGGAGAGUGAAGGGUCUGUCGUUCAUAAGAGGCUGCACUGAAUAUGCAUUGUGCAAAGAAGUGCAUGAAAUAAAAUUAAUAAAAAUGCAUGCUUAAAAUCAGAGGCUGAAAGAAGCUGAAGCCAAGCAUGCAAACGGUGCGGUCGAGCAGAUGUUAUGGUUAUGAUGAGCAGAAAUGUUAUUUAUAUUGUUAGCCAGUAGGUGGCGCUGCCAACAAACUGAAAGUUCUGCAGGAAUAAAACCUGGUGCUAAGAUUGUAGACUUUUAGGAAGAGUAAAAUUAACUCUACAUAAAGAAGAAGAGACAUAUGGCAACAUUAAAUAUGGAUGAUGAAGGUAUUUUUGCAAAAAAUCUAGUAAUGCAAACUAGUUUCAAAAUUUUUUUUUUUUUUUUUCUUUUUUGAGUACAGCAAAGAACAAAUAUCUGCCAAUGGGGUCAGAAAUAUAAUCUUGUUGAAAGUUGAUUUUUCUGACCCCACGGGCAGAUUUGUUUAAAGCAUAAACUUAUUUAUUUAUUAUUCAUUUUUCAGCCAUUUUGCUUUUCAAGUAAAAGUAAAUGUUAAUAUAUCUGCACCGGAGAAGGCAAAAAUUAAAUACAAAAGACUAAGUAAGAUCCGGUGUUAUGACGAUACUUGGCCAGCAGGUGGCGUCAUCACCAUAGACACUGCAGCUAAUGAAUAAUUAAACAGCUAACUAAAUUGAAUGUGAUAUGAGGAAUAUAAAAUAAUCUUUCACACACUGACCGCACUGUUUGUAUAGCAAUGUCUGUAGAAGAUGCAUAAGUUUUAUUCAUUAAAAUGAAUAAAAAUCACAUAUUUAUUUAUAAUUAAGACCUUCAGCAGCAUUUCACUCAUUACACAGAGACACAUCGGUUCACCCAGCUAACAAAAAUACAUUCUAAGAACAUAUUUAAGUUAUGAAAACGUGAUUUUUGAAUGUUUUGUGACCUUAAAAAGUGUUUGGACUCAUAAAUAUCUGUAUAUUACUGUAUUUACACCGUGUCGACGCGAUUAGAUUCCAGCGACUAACUAUUUGUCUGUCCACGACGUCAAUCAAAAAUCACAACCAAUCAGAAGAGCGCGUAGGCGGGGUUUCUCGGCAAGUUCCCGCCACUCGCAACGAAAAAGGGCCUGGAUCCACAGGCGCUCAUGGUGAACGGGUUCGACUCUCCGGUGAGCUUCUACUGUGACGUAUGAGCAUGAGAAAGGAGCAGGUUCUCUCAACAAACGCACAUGGAGAAUCUGAAGGUCCAUGAUUUUCUCUUCCAUCUCUUUGGUCUGAUGAGGCGCGAAACGAAACUCGCUGACGUAUUCGGAUCCGUACUCGUCCGGGUCGUGAUCGCCCAGCUCCGACUGAACCGUGUACGAACCCAGAACCGUGUGAGUGGCGAACGAACACGGCAAACGACCCGAUAUGAUGUCAUCCCUCAGCUGUAAACACAGACAGCAGCGCCGGCUCAGGAGGGUAAAACUUCACAUUGAAUGAGAAAUUCCAGGCGACACCUGAAGAGAGAAACAAUCGAGCUCAAAUACAGCAUAUAUGCAGACAGGACAGAUGUUUAUCUCCUGAGUAUUUCACCUCUG